GUUCCACCCAGCGUAAUAGGAUCCAGCUGGUCAGGAGACUCUAAACUCCCAUCUCCACCCAUCACUUUGUGUUCUUGACCUCUCUGAGCCUCAGUGUCCUUUGUAUUGAAAAGAGAGGGAGAAACCAUCUGCCUGACCUUCACACAGAGAACGGGAAGCCGAUAAAGCCUAUGAAAACCCUUUGUAAGCUGUCGGCCUCUAUAAAAAGGUAACCUGCUGUUCCCGAUGGGAAGGUCUGAUUCCCUGGGCUGUGUUACAGUUUAUUAGGAUGAUCUUUCCCGUGGUACUUAGGUAGAUCUCCGGAAUUGCUGGUACCUGUGAGGCUGUGACGAUAUCAAAGUUUCCCCGGGAAUGUGACGAAGGCCUGACUCACGGCAGAGAAUCUUCUUUUCCUUCAGUUGCAUCUCGGAGGGCUCACGAGUACCUGACUUUCAGUGCCGUUGCCGGGACAGUCAGUCUCACAGCAACCUCAGAAGAUGGGUGUUCUCACUCUAACAGACGGAUCAACAAACACUGAGUGACUCUAACAAGAUCACAGCAAGUUACGGAGACAAGGUCCCAACCCCACACUGCCAGGCUCCGUCCCCAUGUUGCUAUUUGUAAAGAGAAGGCCACCUCGUUCACCUAGUUCUUCUGGGGAAAAUCCACAAAGUCAGCAGGUAGAUUGCCGAGCGGGCUGCGUUUGGCUGUAGUAUUUCCAGUCACGUGGGGGGAGUCCCUUUCGUGUCAGAAGCCUCCCUAAAUUCGUACAAGUAGUUAAAGGGGAGCAAAGCUUCUAAAAGUGUAACCACUAUCUUUUAAAGAGACCAUUUUGAGGCCAUGUAUGUGUGUGUAUGUACAUACCUCCAAACUCGCCCACUAAAGUGGAAACACGGCAAAUCUAAGUUUCAUAAUUAGGAGUACAUGAUACAUAACUCAAUAAUUAGGAUAUAAAGUACCCUGAAAAAUAAAAAAUGGUAGAAAACAUGGAAAACAUUGCUUUAAAGAGACAUAAUGAGCCCCAUUUGGGAGGGAGAAAAACAGACAAUAAAUCAGUUGAAUAAAUACAGACCAAAAUCUGGAUAGAAUUAUCUCAAAUGAGUUAAUAGCCUAAUUCAAAAUAAUAUUUUAGGCUUCCAGCCACAGGCUUACAGAUUCACUAAGUCUGUCCUCAGCAUCAGUUUUCUGAAUCUGUUCUGUAUUUAUUUUAGUGGAAAUGAGUGAAGAAUUAAGACAUAACUAAAUUACUUUUCCAUGAUGCAUAUGUUACAUUGGUGCCAUAAAAACAUAGUUUCCUCAAAGUUUAAUUUAUCAAGUGGAGUGUAAGAUUAAAAUAAAGAUACUCCCUUGACAUAUACAAAUAUACACAUAUGUACACAGAUCUACAUUUACUUCUCAUGAAGCUCUCCCUGGUACUCUGGGCAGAGAACAAAUUAUGUCACCAAGAACAGGAUUUGUUUUAUAAAAUGAUUUCUAAGAUAAGUAGUUGCUGGAGAAUGUUCUACUGGCAUUCUACAUUUCACACUCAGACUUAGCAGACAUAGAAUCUGCUUUCUAUUGUAGAAAUCAAUUUUAGCAACAUUCAUAAAAACAAAAGGAGGCCAAGAUACGAACAUUAAAGACUGUUACGUCUUUUGAUAACAUUCAGGAGUAUAUACACCAUAACAUUUUAGAUAAUCGUAGGUAACCUUAUGCUCAGCCCUGAAAAGAAGGAAAUUCUUUAUCCAAAGAAAAGCUAUUUCUAGAUAUUUUUAUAAGUUACCUAUCAUAACCACUGGCUUUUCUUAAUAUUAAUUGGAAACCAGACUGGAGAAGAUAUUCACAGCAUGUGAGAAAACAGGAAUGUGCACUCAUCCCUGGGCAUUGCGAAUUACCAUCACCUCUUGGACGGGAAACUGACAAACUGGAGGAAAGUUGAAGGCGUCAGCAACUUCACUUCUACGCGUCUUGUUCUAAAAUGUGCAAGACGGCGUGUGAAACGAUAAUCAUUGCAGCCCUGCGCAGAGCAGUAAAGAGUAGAAACAACUUUCACAUCCUUUCUUGGUGUGAUGAAUAAAGAAACGGAGGUUUAAUCAUAGGAUGAGAUAGUACACAAUGUGUGUAGACCUAGAUCCACGUAUAACUAUACGGAUAAAGUGGGAAAAUAUUAUUGAGUCUAAAAGCAAGCUACAGGGGUGACUGCGUGGCUCAGUUGUUAAGCGUCAGACUCGAUUUCAACUCAGGUCGUGAUCUCGUGGUUUCAUGGGUUCAAGCCCUGCGUCGGGCCCUGCACUGACAGUGUGGAGUUUGCUUGAGAUUCUCUCUUUCCCCCUCUCUCUGCCCCUCCUCUGCUCAUGCUGUCUCUGUCUCUCUCAAAAAUGAAUACAUUUAAAAAAAAAUUAAAAGCAAGCUACAAAACUACUGAACAGCACAAAAACCUUUAUAAAAAAUUUAAGACACAGAAGCAAAGGCAGAUAUAUUUUGUAUAUUCAUCCUUACACAGAUAAGUCACAAAAACAAGAAUGGGAAUAACACACACAACUAUUAGAUUAUAAGCCACCUUUGUGGAGAAGGAUGAGUAAGAGAGAGGACGAAGGACGUUGUUUAAUUUAAAAUGUUUAACUUAAUCUCUUCAAACUAGAAAUAUUUGAAGCAAAUAUUGCAAAAUAAUAGUAUUUGUUUAAUGUCUAUGGGAAGUCAGUAGGUGUGUGUUACAUUUUUUGGCACCUGCCUACAGGUUUGAAAUAUUAACAAUUAAACGAUUAAAAAUGUUACUAAUUGAAUUUGACUUCAACUUGAAUGUACUAAAAUAUACUGCCUUGCCUCUUUUCUUCAGCUUCCCCACUAUACUUGUUUUUCCCCAAAGUAAAUCCUGAGCAAAUCUCAUUUUAUAUGAUUUAUAUAAGUGAAGUCUUUGCUGCCAUUGAGUGAGUGCAUUGAGGUGGGUUCAAUCUUCUGGGACUCCCUUAGAAAGCUCCAGAUCUGUCCCUAUAUGUCAAGUACGAAGGGAGUUCCAAAGUGCUAAGUCAAGUGACAUGUCUGCAGAUCCUAGGUGGGAGACAUCUGUCUGAGGAAAGGUCCUUUAGCGGUGUGUCAGAAGGGGAUGCGGGUGAGGACAUGUGUGUAAGGUGAAGGGGCUUGACCUCAGGGUUCUGCACGACGUAUGGGGUCAGGGGUCAAGCCGAGGUAGGCACAGUGCACCCCAGUCCAGGUUGGAGACAUUGGGGAGCCUCUUCAUCAGCCUCUUGUUCUGCAGCGUCUGGUACCCAGAUCUGCAAACAGCCCUGCACUGGGAUGAGGGAACAUCACCUCCAUCCAGGAUGGCCUGGAGGAAGAGAGCACUCACAUAGCACGGAGAGAACUCUCUCAGGACUGAAAGAUGAGAGGUGUUUAUGGGGGUAAGAGAGCUGCAGUUGGUAGAGGGUAUAUAUUUUUUGAGCAAACUCUGUCCACUGCUCCCAACCCUGCCACCAACCUCGCCGUCUCCUUCUUGUCCGUCAGGAAGCGCAGAAAUGCGCUGGCGUGCCAUGGUUCUAGCAGUUUCAUGGUGGAGGCUCAAAGAGGAAUCCGGAGUUCUGAUGGAGGUGGGCUGGGUCAGUUGAUAGCCCAAAGCAAUACCAGCCAUUACCUCGGGAGAGGAAACACCUUUAAGUCGGUGUGCGCAAUGUCACGAGUGUAUGAGAUGUCCAGAAGUACCGGUUCUGCCUUUGUUGUGAUUUCAUAAGGCCGGAAGUGGGUACCCCACAACAAAAAGGGAGAUGGACGUAGGUGUGGAAAAUGGCCGAGAGGUCGCGUUUUCUCAAAACACGUUUGGCAUGGAAAAGACACACCCCUGGAUUUGCUUGCCUUACAUGUUUAUGAAACAAUAAGAAGGACUGAAUUUGGGAAAGGCUUCAGGAUGGGUCACCCCUUCCUAGUAUAUGUUUUCUUCGGCUUUUUUCCACGGUACAGUUUUUCAUUUUCUCUAUGCCCAGUUGGCUGUUGAGUUUUUUGCAGACCUGCGUAAACUGUUCGUGAUAUCGCUCCUUUAAAGCUGAGGCCUUGGUGUCCUCUUUCAGCCACAUAUCAAAAGGUAAACAAGUAGAGAAACUUCUCCUUUGAAGAUUCGACAUGAGUCUGUUACUGGUUAAAUUUCCCUUGCAGAAAUCAAACGGGGUUUCCUGUUGCGUGUUUACCAAACUCUCUUUCCCCAUAAAAUACAGAAUACAGUGCUGCAAUUUUCCCAUUUGUUAAUUUUCCCCAGUGAACUCAUGCCUUCCCUUUAAAUAUCUUCUUUCUUGUAGUCUACCUCGUUUAGCGGUAAAUGCAGAGGAUUACAAGCAUUCUUGUUAGAUGUAAAACAUUCCAGGAAAUUUAAUUUCUUUAGUCAUGGAUUUUCAUCGUAAUGAUACUUCGCAUUUGUAUAACAUCUCUGCUCUGAGAAAUUCAAACCCCUUAUUCAUUAUCUGGAGACAAGCAUUAUUAUUGUAAUUUUGCAUCCUGUGUAACUGAGUCACCGGAAAUGAACCAGAAAUAAAUCAUACCUGGAGUGUAACUUGCAAAAGAAUGUGACAGCAAGGAGAGACGAUUGGAAACCUUCACAGCAGACCACAAUUCUGCUGGCUCACCCUUUAGGGAGGAGGAGGACUUGAUUUGGUCUGGGGUAAGAGUAGACCACAGGGGGAUGGUGGGCAGGGUGGGGGGCAGAGACACUGAGGAAUGCUUACGGUCAGUGCUGUCACAAAUGCUGGAUAAUGCUACCUAAAAGCUUCCUCUCCCUGACCUUUCUACGAUGCACCCCAGCCUGUCCGGGCAGCACGGGGCCACCCUUUCCUGGGCCUGGAAGCCUGGCUGGGCGCUGAGCCAGGGUACAGAUCCUUCUCUGGGUCUGGCUCCUGGGCCAUGAGAACCAGUGUGGUCCUGAUCUCAGCUGGAUUGCUCAUGGCCCUUUGGGCCUGACAGGUCUUCUGUCAACAUGCCCAGAAUCUCUAGGGGUCAGAGCCUUCACCCGCAGUGGUUUUCCUCCAAUCAAACCAGUUUCCCAAAAUAGAUGUGAUGUUUUUGACAAAAAGGAGCUAAGAAGCCGGGAGGGGCAGGGUGGUCCCUUUUUCCCCCUUGUGAGGUUGACGUGGGCCCUGAGUUUCUUAGUCUCCUGGAGGCUCCUUUCCCACUGAGGGCUUAGUUCAGGGUUGUUUGCUACAUUUUACCCCACUUACCAGGCCCAGCAAUACUUGGGGUCCCCGGGAUAAAUACGGAAUGGGUAGGAGCUGCGAAGGAGGGAGGGUCAAAUGAGUCUCCUCCUCCCAACCUGGAGAGCACAUCUCCCAUCCCCCACUGCGGUCAGUGGAGGCUCCAUAUUCUGGCAGUUUCCAGUUGCUUCCAUUUUUGUUCCGCAUUUCAAUGUAGAAAUCGAGGAACGGGUUCCGUUACAGCGAGGAAUGCACACUAACCAACUCUUGAAAUCGAAAUAAUCAUCACAAGCAGAGAGAAUGCUAUCUGACCAGUAAAUUAUAUAAUUGAGGGAGUGCAUGAAAGAACUGGAAAGGCCAGACUCUGCAGUAAGCUCCUUCAUAAAAAAAAAAAAAAAAAAAAAAAGGAAAGCCAAAUGGGGGAGCCCGGUGGCUCAGUCAGUUGAGCAUCCCACUUCUGCCCAGGUCAUGGUCUCGUGGUUCCUGAGUUCAAGCCCCCCGCCCAGCUCUGUGCUGACAGCUCGGAGCCUAGAGCCUGCUUUGGGUUCUGUGUCUCCCUCUCUCUCUGCCCCUCCCCCGCUCAUGCUCUGUCUCCUUCUCUCUCAAAAAUGAACAUUAAAAAUAAUACUAAAAAAAAAAAAAGCAAAAGGUAACCUCCUUGGCACACUCACAAAGGGACUAUUGCCACGAUGCAAUAGUGGACUCAUGUACCAUGAAUUUAGAGCAAGUUACUGGAAUUUUGAGGGGCUUUCUUAUUUGGCAUCCUGGCGUUUUAUACAAUUAGCAGCAGCAUUGGCUGGGGAGGCUUUGACAAAGAAGGCAAGCAAAACAGAACCAGGAAAAGAAGAACCCGCAAAUGUGUUGCCUUUUUUUUUUUUUUUAAUUUUAUUUUGGGUGUCUAUCGAACAUAGUACAAGAAACUCUCAUGAGAACUUCAGGAAAGGAAACAUACCAUGUCUGUCACUAAAAGGGAAAAAAUGUCAUUGGGCCAGUGAGCAUUGAUUAGAACAAUAAGAACUUCCUGGUGCCAAGAGUCAGAACAAAUGUGUGAAAGGGGACCAAGGGACAUUACCAUACUGCGCCUUUCACAGGAAAAUGCUAAAUAAA